rnacentral:misc_RNA from 1 species
AACGCACCUUGCGCUCCUUGGUAUUCCGAGGAGCAUGCCUGUUUGAGUGUCAUUAAAUUCUCAACCUCCACCGGCUUUGCUGCUUGGUGUUGGCCUGGAUGUGGGGGAUUUCUGCAGGCUCUUCACAGAGUCAGCUCCCCUGAAAUGCAUUAGCGGUGACCUUGAUGGCCAUUGGUGUGAUAACUAUCUACGCCAUUGGAUGUCGCGCUGUUCGCUGCUGCUAACGGUCCAUUAGCUUGGACAAUUUAUGACAAUUUUGACCUCAAAUCAGGUAGGACUACCCGCUGAACUUAA